GCCGGGUCGCAUAAUCCGGUAUUGCACCAGACCGAAACUCUGGACGCCUAACGGCUCUCUGGGUUCGAAUCCCAGCGCCGGCG
rnacentral:tRNA from 1 species